rnacentral:rRNA from 1 species
GGGUAGUCCUAGCCGUAAACGAUGCCCACUUGGUGUUGCAGAACUCUAGUGGUUUUGCAGUGCCGAAGCGAAGGCGUUAAGUGGGCCGCCUGGGAACUACGGUCGCAAGGCUGAAACUUAAAGGAAUUGGCGGGGGAGCACUACAAGAGGUGGAGGCUGCGGUUCAAUUGGAUUCAACGCCGGGAACCUUACCAGGGAAGACAGCAGGAUGAGGGUCACCCCGAAGGGGUUACCUAACAAGCUGAGAGAUGCUACAUGGCCGUCUUCAGUUCGUGGUGUGAACUGUCCUGUUAAGUCAGGAAACGAACAAGACCCACGUCAAUAGUUGCUACUUUGCUUUCCGAAGCAAAGGCACUCUAUUGAGACUGCCCGCGUUUUAAGUGGGAGGAAGGAGUGGGCAACGGCAGGUCAGCAUGGCUCGAAAUCCCAUGGGUUACACGCGGCCUACAAUGGGCAUGGGACAACGGGGAUGCAACUUCGUAAGAAGAAGCUAAUCCCUUAAACAUGUCUUAGUUCGGAUUGAGGGCUGCAAC